UUAAACGAUUGUAUGUAUGACUCGGACGACACGUUUACCGCGAGUUUGGAAGACCUUCGACGGGCAGCGCGCGGGCCCGGAGGCCCGCGGCCGCAAGGGACGGCCCGCCGAAGCAACAUGGGAUGAUAGACACGGGUGGGAGGUCUACCCCGAAGGGCAUGAGCUCGGUAAUGAUCCUUCCGCAGGUUCACCUACGGAAA
rnacentral:misc_RNA from 1 species